AGUGAACGCUGGCGGUAGGCCUAACACAUGCAAGUCGAACGGCAGCACAGUAAGAGCUUGCUCUUACGGGUGGCGAGUGGCGGACGGGUGAGGAAUACAUCGGAAUCUACUUUUUCGUGGGGGAUAACGUAGGGAAACUUACGCUAAUACCGCAUACGACCUACGGGUGAAAGCAGGGGAUCUUCGGACCUUGUGCGAUUGAAUGAGCCGAUGUCGGAUUAGCUAGUUGGCGGGGUAAAGGCCCACCAAGGCGACGAUCCGUAGCUGGUCUGAGAGGAUGAUCGGCCACACUGGAACUGAGACACGGUCCAGACUCCUACGGGGGGAAGCAGUGGGGAAUAUUGGACAAUGGGGGCAAGCCUGAUCCAGCCAUACCGCGUGGGUGAAGAAGGCCUUCGGGUUGUAAAGCCCUUUUGUUGGGAAAGAAAAGCAGCAGGUUAAUACCCCGCUGUUCUGACGGUACCCAAAGAAUAAGCACCGGCUAACUUCGUG
rnacentral:rRNA from 1 species